rnacentral:rRNA from 1 species
AAGAGUACGUGAAACCGUUCAGGGGUAAACCUGUGAAACCCAAAAGAUCGAAUGAGGAGAUUCAUCUUCAGCGUAUUCAGUAUUAAUGCAGGCUAUGAUGUGAUAAUAGAAUCCUCGGGGUCACUAGAUUAUACUUGCUUGUAUUAUUUCUGCUGGGUAUGUCGGCGUGCACUUCUCCUCUAGUAGAACGUCGCAACCCGUUGGAUGUUUAUCUAUGGCCUGAAUGGUAGCCUUUGUUAUUUUUAUUAUUGAAGACCUUUGGUGUCCUGAUAAACUGUCUGACGGUAUACAAAUGGUAUUGAGCCGCAAUUAUUUGCGUUAGACUUACCGCAAGUAAGACUUUAUUCUAGUAGUGCGGAUCUAAUGCCGUCGCUGGACAAAGUCUGCUGUUAGCUGUGUAAUGUCUUUAACUGGCUUAUUUACUGGUUAGCGAUGCUACUGCUUUGGGUAC